GUUCCUUUUCUACUGUCAUUUUUUUGAUGGUAUAUGGCAUACAUCUAAAACCAAACCAACAAUUCUGUUUAUCAAGAAAAAAAUCUUAGAGUUGUUGUAUACUAUGUUUAAUAUUCUUUUAGGUGGAUUGACACUGGCUACCAUUUGCCUAUGAUAUUACUAAUAAGUGAGAAGCACUUAAGUAGAAAUGAGGAAUAACUACAUUCUGAUAAUCAGGACCAACAACAGGAAGUGGAGAGAAAAUUAUUUGGGAGCCCUGACUAUGAGAAAAGACCUUAACAAAAAGGUGGCAUCACCAAAGAUAGAAGCAACCCAGUUAUAAGUCAGUCUUUUAAAGGAUGCAGGAAGAAGGUUUAUAUCAUAUAUGCAGCAGAAGGCAGUUCUCUGGAAAACAGAUGGAGGAAGCAUGUUAUGAAAUACCACUGUAUUCAGCUCCUCAAGGAGAGUUCAGGGAUGAAGAAGAAACGUCUUUUAUUCAGACUGCAUUGUUAGCAGAUGGGCCUAUUCUCCAAGAAUGAGCAGUCCAGUGACUUCCCCUGAAACCCCUAAGUGUGAUAGAUAAGCAGUGGUCGCCUGUCUAUAUAUAAGGCAUGAAGUUAAUACAAUGCACAGUGAAGAAUGUGUGAGCAUAAGCUUCACUUCCCACUUCAACACCAACCUUAUCUGCAAUCUUGCAGAGCCUUUACAAAUAUGGUCCACAGAGCUUCCAUUACCAUUGGAAGAAGAGGAUGGAAAACUUGUCUUACAGAACUGUGUUGUCCCUGGUGAUCAGUACCGUAAACAGAAUAAAUCAGUGAAUUUCCUAUACUUCCCAUCCCUCACAGCAGAGGAUUUAAGCUAUUAUGUUUGCGGAAAGGGAAUGUAA
rnacentral:lncRNA from 1 species